rnacentral:rRNA from 1 species
UACGUAGGGUGCAAGCGUUUGUCCGGAAUUAUUGGGCGUAAAGAGCUCGUAGGCGGUCUGUCGCGUCUGCUGUGAAAACCCGAGGCUCAACCUCGGGCCUGCAGUGGGUACGGGCAGACUAGAGUGCGGUAGGGGGAGAAUGGAAUUCCUGGUGUAGCGGUGGAAUGCGCAGAUAUCAGGAGGAACACCGAUGGCGAAGGCAGGUCUCUGGGCAUUAACUGACGCUGAGGAGCGAAAGCAUGGGGGAGCGAACAGG